GAUGAACGCUGGCGGCGUGCCUAAUACAUGCAAGUCGAGCGAACAGACGAGGAGCUUGCUCCUCUGAUGUUAGCGGCGGACGGGUGAGUAACACGUGGAUAACCUACCUAUAAGACUGGGAUAACUUCGGGAAACCGGAGCUAAUACCGGAUAACAUGUUGAACCGCAUGGUUCAACAGUGAAAGACGGUCUUGCUGUCACUUAUAGAUGGAUGCGCGCCGCAUUAGCUAGUUGGUAAGGUAACGGCUUACCAAGGCAACGAUGCGUAGCCGACCUGAGAGGGUGAUCGGCCACACUGGAACUGAGACACGGUCCAGACUCCUACGGGAGGCAGCAGUAGGGAAUCUUCCGCAAUGGGCGAAAGCCUGACGGAGCAACGCCGCGUGAGUGAAGAAGGUCUUCGGAUCGUAAAACUCUGUUAUUAGGGAAGAACAAAUGUGUAAGUAACUAUGCACGUCUUGACGGUACCUAAUCAGAAAGCCACGGCUAACUACGUG
rnacentral:rRNA from 1 species